rnacentral:rRNA from 1 species
GACAGAGGGUGCAAACGUUGCUCGGAAUCACUGGGCGUAAAGGGCGCGUAGGCGGCCUGAUAAGUAGGGGGUGAAAUCCUGCGGCUUAACCGCAGGGGCUGCCUUCUAAACUGUCAGGCUCGAGCACAGUAGAGGCAGGUGGAAUUCCCGGUGUAGCGGUGGAAUGCGUAGGAGAUCGGGAAGAACAUCAGUGGCGAAGGCGGCCUGCUGGGGCUGUUGCUGA